rnacentral:misc_RNA from 1 species
AUAGAUUGUAGGUUGAUUGAACUUUGAUAUCAAUAAUGUCCAAAUCUCAGUCUCGCACUGCAUAAAUAAAAAUAAAACAGAGCCAACUCUGGAAACGCAUACAACACGGCUGGUGCCCUAGUCCUGAUAGAAGAAUCUAUGAAUACAGUGCAUGCUGCCAUGGGGAAAACCCAGACUUAUAUUCACAUCUUCUUCUAUCUUUCACACCAUUUUAUGCGUGUAAAGGAAACCCUUCUGAAGCCAAACCAAAUGAGCUUCAAUAAUUUUUACACUGCUCAAAACAGUAAUAAAGAGAGGAAUCCUAUCUGUUAGUCCUGAAGAACUUUCAACAAGUGACUGACCAUGUAAAGAACAAAGUGAAAAAAGAAACAAGAUAAAGUAGUUUCUUGGUCGCCUUUUCUUUCUUCUUUUUUUGUUUACCAUGAUCCUCCACCUCCACCAAACAUUCCGUUCCAAUAUGCACUGGAAGAAGUCCCUUGUCCCUUAUUUUGAUCGACUUCGGUUGCACUUGAUAGCUGUUUCAUCUCUCCAAAAGGAAAACAAAUCCUGCCACCAUUCUCUUGAACUCCAUAUCUACUGCCAAUCCCCUCAACAGAAAAGCUGAGUGUUGGCUUGAAUUCUUGCAUGGGGAACCCAGAAGAAUACAGUGUGUUUGAAUCUGGCAUUGGUGUUGGCAUGAAAGAAUUCAAUCCCCUAGAUGCAAUUCCAGUUCUUAGCAGCUCCAAAGCUUGACUCUCCUGUAUAGCUGGGAACGCCAGAUUGAGAUCUUGGCCUUCAUGGGUCUUGGGGUUUGGAGAAGAAAACUGUGAGAGACUAGGUGGGUUUAGAUCAGGGAGCUUAGAUGAAGCAGACGAUGAUGAUGACGCUGCUGCUGCUGCUGCCGAUGAUGAUGAUGUAGAUCUUUUGUUCUUCCUAGAACCUCCACCAACAGGAACAUUUCUAAGAGAUCCUCCUUCUGUCCAGUACCUUCUACAAGUCUUG